rnacentral:rRNA from 1 species
CAGGAUUCUCCCAGUAACGGCGAGUGAACGGAGAUUAGCCCAGCACCGAAGCCUAUCUGCACUUGUGGACAAGGCAAUGUGGUGUUCAGGCAUGCACCUUGGGGCUGCUCGUCUACUCGAAGUCCAACUCCGAUUAUGGCAUUGGAUAUGUCCCGAAGCGGGUGUAAGGCCCGUACGAGUAGACUUGGCGCAAUGGAGCGGUCCCUUGAUGUGCGUGUCUUGGAGUCGGAUUGCUUGAGAAUGCAGUCCAAAGUGGGUGGUAAACUCCAUCCAAGGCUAAAUACUGGCACGAGUCCGAUAGUAAACAAGUACCGUGAGGGAAAGUUGAAAAGUACUCUGAAGAGAGAGUAAAUAGUACGUGAAGCCGCUUGUAGAGAAGCUGGUGGAGUCAAGCUCCAUGCCUGCACGAUUAACAACGAGAGUCUGAUGUGUUUGCGUCUAGUGGCUGGUGGAUCUGGAAACGUUCCAAGAGAUUCGCGUCUCUUGUUGAGCCGACCGGUGAGUCGCUUAUACUGGCCAUGAUGACUUCUCUCUUGUGUCCUAUCGUCAGGCAGCCACCAUGAUUGAUACUCCGUCUGGUGUGCGGUCGCUACACUGUCUCAUGCGGGCCCUCCGGCUUGCUGAGUUCAGGAUGGCGGGUGGUGUCCCGGCGCGCUUGCCGUGUCCGGUGACACACGUACUGGUUAUAUCCUGCCGGUGACCGUGCUUUUGCUCUACCAUGCGUUUGAGUAUCAUACUAGUGCCCGCGUGUCCGUCUGCAAUGGUAGCGUUGGGCGAGAAUCAUGGUGUUGGAGUAGAUUUUCCACCCGACCCGUCUUGAAACACGGACCAAGGAGUUUAACACGUGCGCAAGUCAAUGGGCUACUUUGCAAGUACGAAACCCAGAGGCGCAAUGAAAGUGAAAGGUCAUCUAUGUUGGCCUUAGGUGUGAUCCCGGCUGUCCCACACGAAGGCUGCCCGGGCGCAACACCGGCCCGUCUCAAGAUGUAGUCACCGGGGCCACGGCACCAGUGCAUCAUCGAGGCGGCGCAAGAGCGCACGUGUUGAGACCCGAAAGAUGGUGAACUAUGCUUGCGUAGGUCGAAGCCAGAGGAAACUCUGGUGGAGGACCGUCGCGGUUUUGACGUGCAAAUCGAUCGUCAAACGUGAGCAUAGGGGCGAAAGACUAAUCGAACCAUCUAGUAGCUGGUUCCCUCCGAAGUUUCCCUCAGGAUAGCUGGCAAUCAUCUCGCUAUACAGUUUUAUCCGAUAAAGCGAAUGAUUAGAGGUAUUGGGGACUAAUUGUCCUCAACCUAUUCUCAAACUAUAAAUGGGUACGAUGCUGCACUCGCUUAAUUGGAGUGUGGCAUUCAAUGUGAUUGCCAAGUGGGCCAUUUUUGGUAAGCAGAACUGGCGCUGUGGGAUGCUCCGAACGUUCAGUUAAGGUGCCCAAUGCAGACGCUCAUGAGACACCAAAAAAGGUGUUAAUGCAUAUAGACAGCAGGACGGUGGCCAUGAAAGUCGGAAUCCGCUAAGGAGU